rnacentral:lncRNA from 1 species
GUUUUUCUAAACUGACUUGAAACUGGGCUAUUUUGCUUGCUAGCUCAUGGCCCGGUUGUACCAAGGCUGUUGCUGCUGCUGCUGCUGCUGCUGCUGCUUCUUGUUAAGAGUUUCCAAUGAGAGAGAUUUGUUCUUCUUCCUGUUUUCCCUUUGAGUUCCCCCAGAACCAGUCCCUGCUGCGGUAGCCAAAAUCACAUUCUUCACUUUGUCACCAUCAAAAUCAAAUUACCUAGCAAGCAGGUGCUGACAAGGCCUGUCACUACACAAAGUUAAUUAAAAAAAGAAAAAAAGAAAGAAAGAAAAGGUGAGUGACUCAGUUUCCUGUGGUCUGUCGCUUGGGGCCAUGCCUCUUUCUCAUUGCCCAAAACCCCCACCCCCACCAAGUGCCCUGGAGAUGCCCGAGGAUGAGGCAAGUCUGCUCUGCAGGUAACGGAGAUCGGUUGGCAAGACUUGCAGCUUGGAGCUUGGGAUUAGACAACAUUUGGGCUCAUGUCGGAGUCCCUGUCGAGACCAUUAAUCUUCGACUUGCGGCUGUGUUUCCUUGUUCUGUUUUGUUCAGCAUGGCAUUCAAGAUUCCUUCACAGAAAUCUGUGUUGGGGCAGGAAAAUGCUCCGUGAAUUAUGUCCUCAUGAAGUCACCAUCUGGCCGAUAUUCCUCUCGCGGCUCAGAAUACCAAAGCCAUCCUUCAGCACAGAUGCUGGGCCAGAUCAGCGCGAGCAAGUGACCGCCGUCAUAAACCCACGUGCCAUCAAGGGUGGCCUCAGAACCGUGAACUUCCCUGCCUGCUGACUUUCUCCAGCCUGGAGCAGUGAUGUGGGAUCCUCUGAGCAUCAUGCCCUUCAGAUUCUUCAGGGUGGAGGCUCCAAAGCACUAAGAACUCUCUCUCCUUAGAUUCCUGUCUCUGCAUAACCUUACUGUGCUAUUAUGCCAGCAAGAUCCAGUCUAAUAACUCAGUUAUAUUAAAGACCUCUUUGUUGGACUGAAUGGUUCUGUGCCCACCCUAUCCCUCAAAUUCCUAUGUUGAUGCCCUAACCCCCAGUGUGAUGGUAUUUGGAGAUGGGGGCCUUCUGGCAGUAAUUAGGGCUAGAUGAGGUCAUAAAUAUGGGCCUCAUGUUGCACUUAGUAACUUCAGAAGGAGAGGAACAGUUAGAUCACUGCUUGCCCUCUCUGCCAUGUGAGGUCACAGAAAGUGACUAUCCGUGAGCCUGGAAGAGAACCCUCACCAGGAAUGGAAUCUGCAGGCACCUGGACCUUGGGCUCCCAGCCUCCAAAACCAUGAGAAAUAAAUGUCUGUUGUUUAAACCACCAAGUCUAUGGUCUUUUACUAUAGCAGCCUGAGAUUGUAAGACAUUUCCUCUCCACAAAGGAUGAGGGAAGAAGGAAAAAAGGAGUUGAAAGGUAAGGGACAAUUGAGAAAUGUCAAUUCUUGAGAAGAAUAUUGGAUGGGAAGAUGUGUGACCAUAUUGACGCUUUGCCCUUGAGUUGACACUGGAC